UUUAACGAUUUUUGGUUGUGUGUGUGUGUUAUAGUUAAAAACCAUAAUAAACACAAACAACGAAAAAUUGCGCGAACUAGUAACAUACUCAAAAUCAGAGUUGCACUAAUCACUGAUUUUGACAGAUAGUGAACUCAAUAUUUUGUUGUUAGUCAACUGCCACUACCUGUAAAUGAAUAUAUCUUGUGUAAAGUACGUUUAUUUGACAGUUCUAUUAAGGAAAUUUUGAAGCUGCAUUAAGAUAUGUGAACACCGGUGCUAAUAUAUAAUUUUACCGAGAAAGUACGUGUGAGAGAAUUGGACAAGAACACUGGCAUAAAUGGCUUUUUCAUUAUGUGCAUCCCUGCACUAAGAUUGUAUCACUCAAACCAUUUACAUGAAUUAGCGAAAGACAUCGGUCGUUUUUUUCAAGGAAAUUGUCGCCAUUGCAUUUUAAGCAUUUACGCUUAGUGAUAAUCUGUGUAAAACUUUCAAAAGUUUUCUUUGUU